rnacentral:rRNA from 1 species
GACGAACGCUGGCGGCGUGCCUAAUACAUGCAAGUUGAGCGCUGAAGGUUGGUACUUGUACCGACUGGAUGAGCAGCGAACGGGUGAGUAACGCGUGGGGAAUCUGCCUUUGAGCGGGGGACAACAUUUGGAAACGAAUGCUAAUACCGCAUAAAAACUUUAAACACAAGUUUUAAGUUUGAAAGAUGCAAUUGCAUCACUCAAAGAUGAUCCCGCGUUGUAUUAGCUAGUUGGUGAGGUAAAGGCUCACCAAGGCGAUGAUACAUAGCCGAACUGAGAGGGUGAUCGGCCACAUUGGGACUGAGAAACGGCCCAAACUCCUACGGGAGGCAGCAGUAGGGAAUCUUCGGCAAUGGACGAAAGUCUGAACGAGCAACGCCGCGGGAGUGAAGAAGGUUUUCGGAUCGUAAAACUCUGUUGGUAGAGAAGAACGUUGAUGAGAGUGGAAAGCUCAUCAAGUGACGGUAACUACCCAGAAAGGGACGGCUAACUACGUG